UAGCAGCACGUAAAUACUGGAGUUUGGGAUUGCCUGUUGCUCUCCAGUAUUGCAUUGCUGCUUUA
rnacentral:pre_miRNA from 1 species